AUAUAAGUGAGGUAAGAUGCUCUCCACACUUGUCAAAAUAAGAUAACGUUUUCGACCUUUAUAAGUCCGUUGUACAGCAUUAAAUUUAGUGAUAACCACACUAAGUGUUACUUCACUAUACGGUAUAAGACAUCUUCUGAAAAGGUUACUGACAAAGGUGGACAUGAGGAAGGUCGCAAAUGUAAAUCAAUUGAAAGUUGGCGAUGUCAUAAUCUACAAAUACUAUAAGAUUAGUCAUGAAGGCGUUGUUACAAACGUUACGAAGCUAAAUGAAGAUGACUGCCAAUGCAUGUUAGGAAUAAUCCAUUACGGAACCGAAACAAUAUUUUCGAGGAGAACAAUCCGAGAGGACAUGAAACAGUUUAAUCUAAGCCGUGACUCAGUAUAUGUCAAGAAGUUCGACGAAGAAAACGAGCCAGACACUGUUGUUCAACGGGCUAGGAGCCGACUUGGCGAGCAACGUCAUGACAUAUUUGACAAUUCUUCAAGCGAUUUUGUUAAGUGGGCAAAAGUUGGAAUGCAACCGAUAAAGCCAGCUCACGAUGAACGGCUAAUGGUCUACAACGUGUACAGUUGGUAUGAUCUUGUGUCAGGCUCCAUUAUUGAAUUUUCCUAUUAUGGAAUAGAUCACCAAGGAAUUCUCACAGAAUUCAACCCGCAGGAUGCACAAACUAUCUCGAUUACAGUAAUUCAUUAUGGUACGCCAAGCUUAUUCGGAACCCGUACGAUUAUGGAAGAGACUCGCAGCAUCAAUUUGAAAAAUACAUCCUUAAAGAUAUUUCGUUGUAAAGAUGGCUUUCAUCCUAAAGAGCCGGAUGAGGUUAUUAGAAAAGCAAAACAAAGGGCUGGCGAACAGCUCUGGAGAGCAGGAAACAGGUCCUGGGAUUUCUGUCUCAGAUGUCUAUUUGGAAAGAAUUAAGCGUAUGAAUGCCAGGACCGAAUAUCGCAUCAAUACAGACUGGUUUAAUUGGACGAGAUGUACAAUUGACACAGGUGCUUUUGAAUAGUUCAAGUCAGUGGGAUUCUGUUUAGGCGCGUUGAAAUACUUGAACAAUAGCAGUUAAAUGGUUGUGUCAUGGAAAACAGUGAUUACUGGGUGUUUAUAUGAUGAAUUUAGUAGAUUGUGAAAAUUUAACGCUAUGAGUACCCCUUAGGGCACACUUAAGUUUCUCUAAAAUAUAAUAUUGACGUUAAAUACGAUGUUUAAUCUUAAACUAUGCUUGUAAAUGGUUUGAUGCAAAUCAAGUACAUCGCAGAAAUCGCAUUGCAUAUAAUGUUAUUUUGGUGAAUACAAAUUGACAAAAUUCUGAGACCGAGUAAUUGUAUGUUUGCUUUACUGACAUAAAGUAUAAGCACUUGUGUAGAGUGGCUCUUGCCGUGCGUUUUUCUUGAAAUUUCUUGUUUUGACUUAAACUUGUGACCGUAAUAUAUGCAAUUCAUUGCUGGCUUAAUAUGCAAUAAAGCAUGUACUUGUUGAAUUCAGAAA